rnacentral:rRNA from 1 species
AUGCACCGGCGCGUGAACGAGGAUGAAGAUGAUCAAGUCUUUUGUGAUGAGGAUUCAAGCCCCGCUCUCGUUGUCUCCAAAGUCUUGACACUUCAACAUCAACAAGAAGAAGACCAACGAUGCCACAUCUUCCACACUAAGGCCGGCAUCAACAGAAGGUCCGUCAAGGUCAUCAUCGAUGGAGGUAGUCGUCACAUCUUGGCAAGUGAAGAAUUAUGUUCCAAGCUUCAAUUGGUCAAGAGGAAGCACCCGCACCCCUACAAGGUUCAAUGGCUAAGUGACUCCGGCACUAUACGAGUCGAGCAUACGGUCCAAGUAUCCUUCAAAAUUGGUGCUUAUGAAGACACUUUGGAGUGUGAUGUGGUCCCAAUGACCGUUUGCCACCUACUUCUUGGUCGACCGGGGUGUCAUCCACAAUGGGCGCACCAAUCACUAUAG